rnacentral:snoRNA from 1 species
AUGAGGAUGAAAUAUUCUGGACUGAAUUUGUUGUGUUGAAAUUCUUCAGUCCUCUAAGAAGUUCUGAAUAG